rnacentral:rRNA from 1 species
AGAGUUUGAUUCUGGCUCAGGAUGAACGCUAGCGACAGGCUUAACACAUGCAAGUCGAGGGGCAUCACGGGAGUAGCAAUACAACUGGUGGCGACCGGCGCACGGGUGAGUAACGCGUAUGCAACCUACCUAUCAGAGGGGAAUAACCCGGCGAAAGUCGGACUAAUACCGCAUAAAACAGGGGCACCGCAUGGUGAUAUUUGUUAAAGAAAUUCGCUGAUAGAUGGGCAUGCGUUCCAUUAGGUAGUUGGUGAGGUAACGGCUCACCAAGCCGACGAUGGAUAGGGGAACUGAGAGGUUGGUCCCCCACACUGGUACUGAGACACGGACCAGACUCCUACGGGAGGCAGCAGUGAGGAAUAUUGGUCAAUGGGCGGGAGCCUGAACCAGCCAAGUCGCGUGAAAGGAAGAAGGAUCUAUGGUUCGUAAACUUCUUUUGCAGGGGAAUAAAGUGCAGGACGUGUCCUGUUUUGUAUGUACCCUGAGAAUAAGGAUCGGCUAACUCCGUGCCAGCAGCGGC